rnacentral:rRNA from 1 species
GUGACCUGCGGAGGAAUCAUUA